AUGUAAACUCAAUGAACAUUAGGACUAGCUCUGCCUGAUGUGGGACCAGGUUUGCUAAAGUAAUUGUGGUGAUAGGAAUGUAUUAGCCUCAGAAGCUACUGAGCACAAUGCAAGUGAAAAAAAAAA
rnacentral:snoRNA from 1 species